rnacentral:rRNA from 1 species
UACAGAGGGGGCAAGCGUUGUUCGGAAUUACUGGGCGUAAAGGGCGCGUAGGCGGCCUGUUAAGUCAGACGUGAAAUCCCUCGGCUCAACCGGGGGAACUGCGUCUGAUACUGGCGGGCUUGAAUUCGGGAGAGGGAUGUGGAAUUCCAGGUGUAGCGGUGAAAUGCGUAGAUAUCUGGAGGAACACCGGUGGCGAAGGCGGCAUCCUGGGACCGACAUUGACGCUGAGGCGCGAAAGCCAGGGGAGCAAACGGG